UAGGUAAUAUUUUUAUUUAUAUAUAAAUAUUUUUUAAAAAAUUAUUAGUAGUAUUUAAUUUUAAUUAUUUAAGGAAUUAAGAAUUAGAAAUAAUAAUUAAUAUAAACAAAAUUUGUGCCAGCAGUUGCGGUUAUACUAAUUAUAUAAUUUAAUUUUAUUAAUUAUAAUAAAUUAUUUUAUUUUAUAUAAAUAUAAAUUUUAUUAAGUGGAAUUUUAAAAUUUAGUUAUUAUAAUUUUUAUAAAAUGAUUUAAUUAAUUUUUGUUUUAAACUAGGAUUAGAUACCCUAUUAUUAAAAAUAAGAUUUUUAAUUGAAUUAUUAAUAUAGAUAUGUAUGAAAAUUAAAAGUUUUGGCGGUAUUUUAAUUUUUUCAGAGGAACCUGUUUUUUAAAUGAUAAUCCACGAUUUAAUUUACUUUUUUUAUUAAUUUAUAUAUCAUCGUUAUUAAAUAUUUUUAAUAAAUUUAAUAUUUAAGAUUUUUAAUUAAAAAUUAAAUCAGAUCAAGGUAUAGUUUAUAUAAAAGUUAAAAUGGGUUACAAUAAAUUUAUUUGAGGAUAAUUUUUAUUAUUAAGAUUUUAAAUAUGGAUUUGAAAGUAAUUUUUAUUAAUUAAUAAAAAUGAUUUUAAUUCUAAAAUAUGUACAUAUUGCCCGUCGCUUUCAUUUAAUAUGAAAUAAGUCGUAACAAAGUAGAUUUACUGGAAAGUGAAUCUAGAUUC
rnacentral:ncRNA from 1 species